UUUAGCUAACAUAUGCAUCAAACUGGAUGCAAAGACAGCUUGACAGAAAUGGUAGCAGAAGUUGAAUGUUAAACUUGUGUUGCACACAUAUCUAGGGGCUCCCGAGUGGCGCAGCGGUCUAAGGCUCUGCAUCUCAGUGUUAGAGGUCUUACUACAGACCCUGGUUCGAUUCCAGGCUGUAUCACAACCGGCCGUGAUUGGGAGUCCCAUAGGGCGGCGCACAAUUAGCCCAGCAUUGUCUGGGUUAGGGUUUGGGGUAGGCCGUCAUUGUAAAUAAGAAUUUGUUCUUCACCAACAGACAAGGACAGGUCAGUUCUAGGCUGAGGAACAGACAAGGACAGGUCAGUUCUAGGCUGAGGAACAAACAAGGACAGGUCAGUUCUAGGCUGAGGAACAGACAAGGACAGGUCAGUUCUAGGCUGAGGAACAGACAAGGACAGGUCAGUUCUAGCCUGAGGAACAGACAAGGACAGGUCAGUUCUAGGAACAGACAAGGACAGGUCAGUUCUAGGAACAGACAAGGACAGGUCAGUUCUAGCCUGAGGAACAGACAAGGACAGGUCAGUUCUAGGCUGAGGAACAGACAAGGACAGGUCAGUUCUAGGCUGAGGAACAGACAAGGACAGGUCAGUUCUAGGCUGAGGAACAGACAAGGACAGGUCAGUUCUAGGCUGAGGAACAGACAAUGACAGGUCAGUUCUAGGCUGAGGAACAGACAAUGACAGGUCAGUUCUAGGCUGAGGAACAGACAAGGACAGGUCAGUUCUAGCCUGAGGAACAGACAAGGACAGGUCAGUUCUAGGCUGAGGAACAGACAAGGACAGGUCAGUUCUAGCCUGAG